UUUGAGAUUUAAAAAAAUAAAGUUAGAAAGUUGCAUCCGUAGGAUGGUUGUUUUCCAGUGGACAGCAAAGUAGCAUGAAUGGAAAGAAAUGCAAAGAGAGAUGAUCUAGUCUAAGGUGCAAUCCACAACGUGGGACAGAAUGAUCAAACACCGGGCAAUGCUUCUGCCUUUAGGCUCUAAUAUUGCAAUGGAAACACUCACCUCUCCAGAUCCAAACUAGCUUUUUCAAGGACCUUGAAGAAAAGUUGAAAACGACGCUGAUAAAUCGCGUUUAUUUCCUUCUGCAGGGUGGAAAAAACAAUAAUCUAGGAAAAGGACCUCAAGCCCAGGCGCUAUAGGGCUGUAUAGAGAAGGAGCCUUCCAGCUAGAAGCCGAUUUGUGGUCUCAGACAAAUUAAAUAUUACUGUUUAUUACCAGCCAUACUCCAAUAAAAUAAAGAGAGUUCAAGGCGAUAGCUGCUAUCUCACCAGCCCUUGCACCUAUAGGACUCAGAGACGUCAUCAUACACGCAACUGGCCCAUUCUAUCAUGGUUGACUGCAGCAGUAAUGGAAGGUUAAUUUGUAUUCUUCUUUUCCUUUAAAGCCCUAUCAGCUAGGUUUCCCCCUUUGCAAAGAAACACUCAGUGCAAUGCAAAAUGCAGCCAGCCUGGGGGGGAAAUAUAACCAAACAAACGUGCUUAAUACAUUUAAAGGGGAAGGACUGGAAAAUCCGAGUGCUGUCUUGGAAUGGAAGAGGAAAAUGACCAUUAAAGCCGUUGGCUCUCCAAGAUCAACUCCGUUAAUCCCAUGAGAGAGAGAUCGGAAGAGAAAUCAAGAGGAGAGAAAAUAAAUUGGACACCAUACGGCCCUCAGGAAAACCCUAGACACAAAGCAAGAAGUUGUUGCAGGAUCUGUGGACUUCAAGAUGACAUUAGCAAUGGACCGCUUCCCCAAGACAGCAGAAUGCAGCAUUGUUCUACCUGCAUUUUCCCCACAUCCACCAACCUGCCCCUCCAUAGUAGGACUCUGGACCAACAAGGGGCUACACACUGCAGCACUCCAACCCCACAGUCCUGCUGCCCUCGAGUUUAGAACAACAGAGGAAGAAGAAUGUGUGUGUCAGGAACGUGAAGGUUUGGCUAGGAGAGCAAAUGUCUGCCCACGCAAACUGCGCUCCUCGAGCCUGUAAGACCGAGCCUGCUCCUUCUUAUCCCAAAGCCUCUGGAAUUCCCAUUGAGGGCUUUCAUUUCCCCCCCCGCUUUCGUGGGCCCCCCUUGCCCCACUCAUACGAUGGCUUUCAAUCUUCAGAAGGAUAACAGCCCUGAAAGGCAGUCCUCCCCCCAGUCACCCCAUACACCAUCGCAGACAGGCAGGUAUGUUUGUAACUUCACUUCAUAGAACAGCAUCUUUUUUUUUUGGUACCUGUUUUAUUAUUAUAAUUAUUACAACACCGGAUGACCGAUCCCACUUAUUGUGUAUGAAGUGGGAAAUGGAUUUUCCUUGGUGAAUUCCUUCAGACGCUAAACAAUUCACAAUAUUAGAGUGUGGGUGUUUUUUUGGGGGGGGGGAGGCAUCCAGGGGUGAAACAAAAAAAGCGCGCAACUUGUGAUCUUCGUCUUUCAAGGAGUAGCCCUAAAUCAAAACACCUGUUGCAGAUUAUCCUGCGUUCCCCCCUUGUAAAUGGAAUCAUUUAAAUACAAACAAGCGAGGAUAAAUGUAUUGGUUUUCUCCCCCCUGACCUGGGAUCACAGCUUUGGAGCUCGGUAGCGCUUAGUUGAAGACAUUAAUAAUACAUUCGGGAAGCAAAUAUGGGAGCUUUUCUCAGGUCACCUUUCGCCCUGCACACAGAUACACAUACACACGUGAGCACACAGACAGCUACACCCAGAGAACAUACAUAAACCCACUCCCGACACACGAAUACACAGACACCCACACCCACGCAAAACGUAUUCAGAUGCACACAAUCAGGCCUAUCGAUAUAGCUACACACACACACACAAAACAUUGGCACACAGCUAUACACACAAACGCCACACUGAAAGCGGCGCGCAGAGUGUCCUCGCUAGGGGGGCUACACAAAACACAAGUUUUCAUCUCUCCCUACAGCUGGGGUUAUUUCACUCUGUCCAUCCCCUGCCGAAACCCCCUCGCCCAUCGCCAAGCACUCAGGUAACCAUCCCCCCCGGCCUUCGCUUUGGAAAGGAUCAAGGACCCAAGCGGGCGAACAUUACCUUGUUG